rnacentral:rRNA from 1 species
GAUGAACGCUGGCGGCGUGCCUAAUACAUGCAAGUCGAGCGAACAGACGAGGAGCUUGCUCCUCUGACGUUAGCGGCGGACGGGUGAGUAACACGUGGAUAACCUACCUAUAGGACUGGGAUAACUUCGGGAAACCGGAGCUAAUACCGGAUAAUAUAUUGAACCGCAUGGUUCAAUAGUGAAAGACGGUUUUGCUGUCACUUAUAGAUGGAUCCGCGCCGCAUUAGCUAGUUGGUAAGGUAACGGCUUACCAAGGCGACGAUGCGUAGCCGACCUGAGAGGGUGAUCGGCCACACGGGAACUGAGACACGGUCCAGACUCCUACGGGAGGCAGCAGUAGGGAAUCUUCCGCAAUGGGCGAAAGCCUGACGGAGCAACGCCGCGUGAGUGAUGAAGGUCUUCGGAUCGUAAAACUCUGUUAUUAGGGAAGAACAAAUGUGUAAGUAACUAUGCACGUCUUGACGGUACCUAAUCAGAAAGCCACGGCUAACUACGUG